UUCAAUUUCGUUCGCCACAGCGAUGCAUUUCUUGAUUGAAAACUCAUCUACAUCAGCCUUGGCUCUCUCCCUUGCUGCAGCUUCCUCUCCAUCUUGCUUGGUCUUCAUGGCAAUAUAGCUCUCCAUCAUCCCUGCAACAUCAGCUUUCUUGCGUUUCUUUGGCUCCUUCUCCACUCGCUUCCCAACAGUACCUUGAACCUCC
rnacentral:lncRNA from 1 species